UGUUAAAAAUUUUAUCCAUUUCUACAGUUAAAAAUUGGCAUGAUAGACGGAAUAACCAAACAGUUACACGUAGUGUGCCACAUGUACCUCAUUCUAGCAUACAAGAAUCAAUUUUUAACAAUAGAAAUGGAUGAAAUUUUUAACA
rfam:Gossypium hirsutum cultivar TM-1 unplaced genomic scaffold scaffold2668.1, whole genome shotgun sequence